AUUUGCAGAGGAUGCUUUUGGCAAGGUGCCUUCCGAGUUCCCUGGAACGGGACGCCAUAGAGGGUGAGAGCCCCGUCUGGUCGGACACCGAGCCUCUGUAAAGCUCCUUCGACGAGUCGAGUAGUUUGGGAAUGCUGCUCAAAAUGGGAGGUAUAUGUCUUCUAAAGCUAAAUACCGGCCAGAGACCGAUAGCGCACAAGUAGAGUGAUCGAAAGAUGAAAAGCACUUUGAAAAGAGAGUUAAAUAGCACGUGAAAUUGUUGAAAGGGAAGCGUUUAUGACCAGACUUGGCCCGGUUGAUCAUCCAGCGUUCUCGCUGGUGCACUCUGCCGGUCCAGGCCAGCAUCAGUUCGUCGCGGGGGAUAAAGGUUUCGGGAAUGUGGCUCCUCCGGGAGUGUUAUAGCCCGUUGCGUAAUACCCUGCGGUGGACUGAGGUCCGCGCUCUGCAAGGAUGCUGGCGUAAUGGUCAUCAACGACCCGUCUUGAAACACGGACCAAGGAGUCGUCUUCGUAUGCGAGUGUUCGGGUGUAAAACCCCUACGCGUAAUGAAAGUGAACGCAGGUGAGAGCUUCGGCGCAUCAUCGACCGAUCCUGAUGUUCUCGGAUGGAUUUGAGUAAGAGCAUACGGGGCCGGACCCGAAAGAAGGUGAACUAUGCCUGUAUAGGGUGAAGCCAGAGGAAACUCUGGUGGAGGCUCGCAGCGGUUCUGACGUGCAAAUCGAUCGUCAAAUAUGGGCAUGGGGGCGAAAG
rnacentral:rRNA from 1 species